AUGCGGAAGCAGGUCCAUCAAAAGAAGUAUGGAGCAGCAGAAGUGGCACUUCUGUAAGACAUCACCACAAAAAACCUGUGGCCGAAAAGAAAGCAAGGUCGUAUGUCCCGGCCCAAACACAGCAGGCUACCCCGCCAUGAAGAUUAUCGUCCGUAUGUUCUGUCCCCCCACUCCAAAUUUUGGACACACCUCCAAGACGUCAUCCACACUCCCCUCAUCUUGAUUCUUCUAGUCCUGGGAACAGCAUCCCUCCGCAACAACAGCAACACAGUGACAUGGAGGAGACAAACAUCUUAGAAAUGCAGCCA